AUAUAUAUAUAUAUAUAUAUAUAAUAUUACACUGGUAAAUAAUUCAAUGCACACUGAUUUUUAUUUAAAAACAUAUUUCUAAAAUACAAGAGCUUAGAAUUGGAAAUACAAACUCUAGUAGCCAGAUUAUUCUAUAACUCAAAUCCACACAACUUAUAAGACUACAACACUAUUUACACCACUAUCAAGAGUAGACGAUUUAUGAUAUAUAUAUAUAUAUAUAUAUAUAU
rnacentral:lncRNA from 1 species